rnacentral:rRNA from 1 species
UAGGGAAUCUUCCGCAAUGGACGAAAGUCUGACGGAGCAACGCCGCGUGAGUGAAGAAGGAUUUCGGUUCGUAAAACUCUGUUGUUAGGGAAGAAAAAAUGUAUAGUAACUAUAUACAAAAGAGACGGUACCUAACCAGAAAGCCACGGCUAACUACGUGCCAGCAGCCGCGGUAAUACGUAGGUGGCAAGCGUUGUCCGGAAUUAUUGGGCGUAAAGCGCGCGCAGGUGGUUUAGAAAGUCUGAUGUGAAAGCCCACGGCUCAACCGUGGAGGGUCAUUGGAAACUAAUAAACUUGAGUGCAGGAGAGAAAAGCGGAAUUCCUAGUGUAGCGGUGAAAUGCGUAGAGAUUAGGAGGAACACCGGUGGCGAAAGCGGCUUUUUGGCCUGCAACUGACACUGAGGCGCGAAAGCGUGGGGAGCAAACAGG